rnacentral:lncRNA from 1 species
AUAUUUCCAGGAGACUAAUUUUCAUUUAGCUUCCAUGUCUCCAAAAGUCCGAUCUUGCUUGGAAUUGUCUUUAAGGAGUUUGGAAAUUCAACUAGUUUAAUAGUACAAGUGACAUUUAGUGAGAGGUUGACCAUGAAUCUUUAUAGAAUUCAAAGUCUUUUCCAUUGAAGUGUCUCUCUUCAAAUCCUUAAAGCAAGGCAAUAGCUUGAAGCCAAAGAAUUGUUCCCCUUAAUUGUUGAUCCCAAACAUCUUAUUGAAUCUACGAGCACAACAAAUGAGUCAG